rnacentral:antisense_RNA from 1 species
GCCAAGCUGCAACUGGAACUCAGAAUUUCUGGUUCCCAGUUCUAUAUCUUAGCCUCCCAAACUGGCUAUGUGGACAGGAAAGAACAGAGUAAUGGGGUGAGCUUUAAGGAUGCAAUUUCAUAGGAUUCCAAGAAUCUCAAGGUUAGAGAAGUCGCCUAGUCCACCUCCCCUCUCUGCUUCUCACAGAAGGGUCUGCUGAACACUCUGGUGACAGAGAACUCACCCAACAUGUUCCAUGGCAGAGGCUUUUCAUUAGAUCAAGGUGACAUCUGUUUUACUGGAGCUUCCAACCACGUGUCCCAAUACUGCCCUUAGUCACAGGCAUCCAGGUCCUCUCUCUCAGGACAGCACUUUGAAUAAAUGAGGACAGCUCCCAUCCCCCUUUCUCCCAUAGCUGGGACUACAGGCGCCCGCCACCACGCUCGCUAAUUUUGGUAUUUUUAGUAGAGACGGGGUUUCACCAUGUUGACCAGGAUGGUUUCAAUCUCUUGACCUUGUGA